GUUAUUUAUGUAUAUGUAAACAGUUAAAUCAGGAUGAAAAUAUUUACUGUUGUCUAGACAGUCUAAUCUAAUGACCGAUUAACAGUAUCACGAGUACAUGUUCACUGACCACCCCCCCCCCCCUUCCCCCCCCCCCCCCCCCCGUAAUCUUCACAUUGGUCUUGAAUUUCUUUUCUUUUCAAUUCUUGUGUACUGCAAGCUGAAUUCAUUAUAGUGUGACUUAAGUUUUAACUUAUAUCACUGUACACGUGCUGUAAACAUUCUUAAGCCGCCCCCCCCCCUUUUUUUUUAAAUAACGAACGACAACUCAUGCGUGAUGACAGCUAACAGAUGGAGGAGGCCGAGAGGAUAUUUGAGGAGGCAAAAUCACACGAAUCAAACUCCAACAAUCUUAUAGCGUCCGAUUUAUACACAGAGUUUAUUAACCAAGCCUUGGCAUGUCCAAAUCGACAGUCUUUGUGAGUUAAUACCGUAUACAUAGGAGUCAAUUUAAUCACAUAACUCGAAUUUCCUCGUGAUGAACCUGUUUAUCAUUCUUGGUAACAGAGAAAGGUAUUUGAUAUGGUAGGGAAAACGUAUGAUUCAGUUUUAGGUAAUUAGGAAUGAUUGUUUACAUUAAUUUGGAAUACCAGCUGGUUACAAUUUUAGGUCCGAGAAGUUAGCUUUGGCCUUUAACAACAGAGGAUUCCUGAAAUACAAAGCAGUAGACUUUGACGGUGCCAUCACUGACUACACAGAGAGUUUGAAACUUAAUACCAGUUCCUGCAUCACUUACUAUAACCGUGGGACGGUUUUAUACAGGCUGAGUAAAUUUGAUGAUGCUAUAAUGGACAUGAAGAAAGCCCUGUCAUUAGAUCCCAGUUUUGAACCAGCGCAAACUGGUCUACGGUGCGCUCAACAGGACCGAGAGAACAAACUGAAAAGAGGCUGGUGAAGAUGCACCACAUACUGUUACUGAGGCCUUUACAUUAAAAUUCUGCACAUCCUAUGUGUACUUCUAUGCAUAAACACGUCACUCAGUAAAGGGUUUAUUUAUUGAAUAUUUUAAAUCCACCUGUGUGAUUCUAAACUAACUAAAAGUACUGAUAAUACUUAUAAGAUGUCCUUGUAUCUGAGGUGUUGAAAACCUUUUAUGACCACUGCCUCACAUUCUUGCUACUUGAAUUGCUGUCAUCACAGAUUCAAGUUGUUUUGCUGUCCUGUUUCAUUCUGUUGAAAUUUUACUAGCAAAAUAUAUUUUCCUUUCAAUUCUUCGUUAAGUAUGAUAAAUAAAUCUAUAUCCCAUAUUUA
rnacentral:misc_RNA from 1 species